GAAAAGCCCAACCAAUACCACAAUUGCAAUCUAUCCCAAACUUCAAUUUCUCCCUUUGCCCCACUCCCCUUCUCUCCUAAAAGCUCUGCCCAAUGUGCUCCAAUGGCAGCCACAUUAUUCCUUUGCCCGCCCACCCCCCAAAAUUAAGAGUUCUGCCGCAUUUGGCUGUGAGACUUGCAUGUGGCAAGUCUUUCAUGUCUCCUUACAUGCAAUUCACGGGUGUUGGAAAUUCGUAAUUUGGGAUUUUUUUGGAAUAUGUUUUAUUUUAUUCAGUAUUAAAAUAAUAUUUUCCUCAAUUAAAAGGAAUGGCUUAAUUUGAUAAGUUGCACAAUGGUAAUUUUUAUUUUAUUUUUUUUAAGCCUUUCUUUUACGGGGAACCAUUUGUUGCAUUUGGACUGAACUUAUAGGCCAUGCAAAUAUUGAAUUGCUUAAUGUGGUAGUGAUAAACAGACUGAUACCUAUACCUGAAUCCCUAUUUGGAUGUGGAUCCAUAUCCCAAAAUCUUGGAACUAAGACGAAUUGGGCAGUGUUUGUACCCAAUUCGGACGUACCAAAGUAUAAUGGAGUGCUGCACUCUCUGAGCUUCCCUUACACCCAUUUAGAACAAUUCAUAUGCUAAAAUCCUAAUCAAUUCUCAAUAGAUUCAGCUCAAAUGAUUUUAUAAUGAAUUUAUAUUUUGGAAUAAAUUUGAAGUGAUAAAACACAUUUGAAUUCUAUUAUUUGGAACAAAUGAAAAUUACGAUGAAUGGAUUGAGUUUUCUGUUUUAAUCAUUUACAAAGAGACAAAUUUAAGUUAGUUAAGGGUGUUUUAUGUUUUUAAUAUUAAGCCUCAUUAAAUGAAUUGAAUUCUUGCAUAUUUUGUCUUUCUAAACGCACUUAAAGAGCUUACAUUAAAGUUUC
rnacentral:misc_RNA from 1 species